AAGCUGUGAAGGGCCUUGAAUGUAGUUAGGAGGAGUUUGAAGAUGAUUCUUUGUUUGAUGGGGAGCCAGUGGAGUUGUUGCAGGAUGGGAGUGAUAUGAUGAGAAAUGGGGGUCCGAGUGAUCAGGCGUGCUGCAGAGUUUUGGAGGAGCUGUAGUUUCUGGAGGGACUUGUUUGGAAGGCCAAAAAGAAGUGAGUUACAGUAAUCGAUGCGUGAAGUGAUGAGACUGUGAACAAGAAUGGCGGUAGUUUGGGGAGUGAGGGAGGGACGGAGACGAGAGAUGUUACGCAGAUGGAAGUAGGCAGACCGGGUGAUGUUGUUAAUGUGGGACUGGAAGGAGAGGGUGCUGUCGAGGACGACACCCAGACUCUUAACCUGAGGGGAGGGGAGGACAGUUGAAUCAUUGAUGGUAAUCGAGAAGUUAUUAGCUUUGGAGAGAGUGUGAGGUGUGCCUACUAGGAGGACUUCGGUUUUAGAGCUAUUCAAUUUGAGGAAGUUGGAUGAGAACCAAGAAUGGAUUUCUUGGAGACAGAGGGUGAGGGAGAUUGGUGGGAGUGAGGCAGAUGGCUGAGUAGAAAGUGACUUAAGUGACAUC